UACAGAGACUGCAAGCGUUAUUCGGAUUCACUGGGCGUAACGGGUGCGCAGGCGGCUGUGUGUGUGAGGCGUGAAAGCCCGGAGCUCAACUCCGGAAUUGCACCUCAAACUACACGGCUAGAGCAUUGGAGAGGGUAGCGGAAUUCACGGUGUAGCAGUGAAAUGCGUAGAUAUCGUGAGGAACACCAGAGGCGAAGGCGGCUACCUGGACAAUUGCUGACGCUCAGGCACGAAAGCGUGGGGAGCAAAAGGG
rnacentral:rRNA from 1 species